rnacentral:misc_RNA from 1 species
UCCGGUUUGUCACCAGCAGUUCAAGCCCAGGUAAGGUUCUUCGCGUUGCAUCGAAUUAAACCACAUGCUCCACCGCUUGUGCGGGCCCCCGUCAAUUCCUUUGAGUUUCACCCUUGCGAGCGUACUCCCCAGGUGGAAUACUUAACAGGUUUCCUUCGGCACUGACCGUUGCCGGCCAACACCAAGUAUUCAUCGUUUAGGGCGUGGACUAC